rnacentral:rRNA from 1 species
GAGUUUGAUCAUGGCUCAGGAUGAACGCCGGCGGUGUGCCUAAUACAUGCAAGUCGUACGCACUGGCCCAACUGAUUGAUGGUGCUUGCACCUGAUUGACGAUGGAUCACCAGUGAGUGGCGGACGGGUGAGUAACACGUAGGUAACCUGCCCCGGAGCGGGGGAUAACAUUUGGUAACAGAUGCUAAUACCGCAUAACAACAAAGGCCACAUGGCUUUGUUUGUAAGAUGGCUUUGGCCAUCACUCUGGGAUGGACCUGCGGUGGCAUUAGCUAGUUGGUAAGGUAACGGCUUACCAAGGCGAUGAUGCAUAGCCGAGUUGAGA